UUUAAACAUUCAGGAGUAAAAGUUUUUGUUUGUUUGCUUUUGUUUUUUACUUAGCCCUGGAGAACAGAGACGUAAAAGACAGCGCUUUGAACUGAAAUGAUGUGCGGUGUAAUCGGAGGCUGGCUGGUUGUUGAUUUAAUUGCUCUUCUUUCUUGAGGCAUCUGUUAGUUCAGCCUAAAAGCCAUUCUUAAGGCAUGGAGAACUGGUCUACCAUUAUUAAAUUUAAGGAUGAAGCCUGUGGCUUGGAACGGGCUGAGCUGAAGGUUCAUGUCACACUAUUCUUGGAAAAAUUGCCCCUGGGAGAGAACUGAAAACUGGAUAAAAAGAACCCCCACAACAAGAGACCAUCCUGACUGAGGCAGAAGGGGCAGAAAUUCCAUCUGGAGAGAGAAAAAUUCACCUUUGUGAGCCAUGGAGCUUCACAGUCAGCCAGGCAGGAGCAAAUCUAAGACAAGACCCUGGAGAGAGGAAGAGAGGGCAGAUGGCAUCUGGAGAAGAGUAACACGAAGAAUGGGGUGGC
rnacentral:lncRNA from 1 species